rnacentral:rRNA from 1 species
ACUCAAAUGAAUUGACGGGGAGGCACACAACCAGUGGAACAUGUGGUUCAAUUCGAUACGAAACGAGAACCUCACCAGGGUUUGACAUCCAAGCGUUCUAUCCCUAAGAAACUAGGGAAAUGCGAAAGCAGGCUUGGACAGGUGUUGCAUGGCUGUCGUCAGUUCGUUCCGUGAGGAGUGCCCUUAAGUGGGACAACGAACGCAACCCCCAUCUUGUGUUAAAAAUGUCACAAGAGACUGCCUCGGCAUUCGUCGAGGAGGAAGGAGGGGCAGACGUCAAGUCAGCAUGAUCUUUAUACCCUGGGCUACACACAUGUUACAAUGAGAUGAACAACGGGCUUCGCAAGCGCGCGAGCGCAAGCAAAUCUCUUAAAUUAUCUCUCAGUGGGGAUUGAAGUCUGCAACUCGACUUCAUGAACACGGAAUUGGUAGUAAUCGUGAAUCAGCUAUGUCGCGGUGAAUACGUUCUUGCCUCUUGCACACACCGCCCGU